rnacentral:sRNA from 1 species
CACAGGCACUUGUUUCUAUCCAUUGGAAGAACCACUAUCAAUGUAUAUUUACGUGGGUCUUCCAAUGGAUAGAAACAAGUGCCUGUG